rnacentral:rRNA from 1 species
UGUAGCUUGCUACAGCCUUAGGGUGUGCUCGCGGCCUAUCAGCUAGUUGGUGAGGUAACGGCUCACCAAGGCUAAGACGGGUAGCCGGCCUGAGAGGGUGUACGGCCACACUGGAAUUGAGAUACGGUCCAGACUCCUACGGGAGGCAGCAGUGGGGAAUCUUGGGCAAUGGGCGAAAGCCUGACCCAGCGACGCCGCGUUGGGGAUGAAACCCUUUGGGGUGUAAACCCAUGUUGUAGGGGACGAAGAAAGUGACGGUACCCUACGAGGAAGCCCCGGCUAACUACGUGCCAGCAGCCGCGGUAAGACGUAGGGGGCGAGCGUUGUCCGGAAUUACUGGGCGUAAAGGGCACGCAGGCGGUGCGCCAAGUCGAGGGUGUAAAGUUACGGCUCAACCGUGACAUUGCAAUCGAUACUGGCGCGCUGGAGUGCGGGAGAGGGAAGUGGAAUUCCCGGUGUAGCGGUGAAAUGCGUAGAUAUCGGGAGGAACGCCAGUGGCGAAGGCGGCUUCCUGGCCCGCGACUGACGCUCAUGUGCGAAAGCCAGGGGAGCGAAC